rnacentral:rRNA from 1 species
UCCCUACGGGGGGCAGCAGUAGGGAAUUUUCGUCAAUGGGCGCAAGCCUGAACGAGCAAUGCCGCGUGAACGAGGAAGGUCUUCGGAUCGGAAAGUUCUGGUGAAGGGGAAAAAGAGCGGAGAGAGGAAAUGAACUCCGAUUGAUAUUACCCUUCGAGGAAGUCAAGGCUAACUACGUGCCAGCAGCCGCGGUAAUACGUAGGUGGCGAGCGUUAUCCGGAAUGAUUGGGCGUAAAGGGUGCGUAGGCGGCCUGCUAAGUCUGGAGUGAAAGGUACCGGCUCAAACGGGACAGUCUCUGGAAACU